GAUGAACGCUGGCGGCGUGCCUAAUACAUGCAAGUCGAGCGAACAGAUGAGGAGCUUGCUCCUCUGACGUUAGCGGCGGACGGGUGAGUAACACGUGGAUAACCUACCUAUAAGACUGGGAUAACUUCGGGAAACCGGAGCUAAUACCGGAUAAUAUACUGAACCGCAUGGUUCAAUAGUGAAAGACGGUUUUGCUGUCACUUAUAGAUGGAUCCGCGCCGCAUUAGCUAGUUGGUAAGGUAACGGCUUACCAAGGCAACGAUGCGUAGCCGACCUGAGAGGGUGAUCGGCCACACGGGAGCGGGGCCACGGUCCAGGGUCCUACGAGAGGCAGCAAUAGGGAAUCUGCCGCAAUGGGCGAAAGCCUUACGGAGUAACGCCGCGUGAGUGAUGAAGGUCUUCGGAUCGUAAAACUCUGUUAUUAGGGAAGAACAAAUGUGUAAGUAACUAUGCACGUCUUGACGGUACCUAGUCAGAAAGCCACGGCUAACUACGUG
rnacentral:rRNA from 1 species